rnacentral:precursor_RNA from 11 species
CACCUCCAUGGCUUGUACCUUUCUGUCGGAUAGCUUAUCAGACUGAUGUUGACUGUUGGAUGUCAUGGCAACAACAGUCGGUAGGCUGUCUGACAUUUUGGUGUCUUUCAUCUUGGCUGU